rnacentral:rRNA from 1 species
CCCGACCUACGGGGCGCAGCAGUGGGGAAUAUUGCACAAUGGGGGAAACCCUGAUGCAGCGACGCCGCGUGAGCGAAGAAGUAUUUCGGUAUGUAAAGCUCUAUCAGCAGGGAAGAAAAUGACGGUACCUGACUAAGAAGCCCCGGCUAACUACGUGCCAGCAGCCGCGGUAAUACGUAGGGGGCAAGCGUUAUCCGGAUUUACUGGGUGUAAAGGGAGCGUAGACGGUCCUGCAAGCCAGAUGUGAACGGCCGGGGCUCAACCCCGGGACUGCAUUUGGAACUGUAAGG